GUUUUUUUCUAUUUUACCCCAGGGAAUGAAGUGCAGGUGGGAACUGAAAUGAUCGCAUCAAACGUACACUUAACUCACGGAAACUACGAACCCUUAACUACACAAAGAACCCAUUGAAGAACAACUUUUUUUAAAGGGUGCACAGCGCUGAUGGACUGCUAUGAUUUAUUUCCCGUUGCUGUUUAUACUGCGCUCCGCUCUUCUGGGAAGGCUUUCCGUUCGAUUUUGGAUCGCGGCUGUGGGGAUUUGUGUUCAUCGGUGGGCGAGGAGGCCUGGCACUGGGGCGUUCCAGUUCAUCCCAAACUUGGGGCUGAGGUCAGAUUGAAAAGAAUUUAUACUUUUCUCAUGAGUUUGUUUGUUGUUGUUUUUUGUUGUUUUUGUUCCUGAAUGCCACGUUCCUCUCUUAAUAUGUAUUUUUUUUUCCUGUAAGAAAGACAGAAAGAAAAAUAGAUAGGAAGAAAGAAGAAAGAAAGAAAGAGUGACAGAACGAGGGGGUCUCCAGCUGUGUCCCAUUAGCACCAGAGCAUAUGGCAGCAGGAAAUGUCCCGAGGGGGCAGCAGUAGCAGAGUUCAGAGGUCACUGAGGGUUUGGAUUUCCUAAGCACAGCACCCCUGUGGUUCCCAGUCGGUUCUCUUCCUUCAGCAACGGCCCCCCCUCCUCCUCUCGCUCAGUUGGAAAAAUAUUAGUCUUCAUCCGACACAGAGGAAGAGCAGGAGGAGGAGGAGGGGGAUGAGUGCUCUUCUUUUCCCGACCAAUUGGAUAUUUUACCGAAAUAAUGCAUCUUUUCUCCUUCCUGCCUGCAUUUCCCAAAGCACGGAAUAGGCUGUAAAGCACCCGGUUAUCAUGAAAUCAGCAAUGGAACUCUGAACUACAGUUCCCAACAGCCACUGCCUCAUUGUCACAUGACCACCCGCGCCUGAUUGACGUUCCUGGUACAUUCCAGGUGGAACGCUGGGAAGCACUAAAACGAGCUACAAAGAGAAAUCGACAGUCAGAUGGCGCGACUGUCAAAGGGUUCACGCGGGUUAUCGCUACCGCCGAUAAGACAAGCAAACUACAGUGCAGGAGGCAAACAAGCGAAGUGAACAAGCUUGUCCAGCUGCUCUGGACGGAUAAACACACCUGAGGGAACCGGACUGCUCCAAACACCAUCAACACCAUCAUCACGGCUCCUGCUGAGCACAAACAGGAGGGGGGAAGGAGAGAGAGAGAGAGAGAGAGAGAGAGAGAGAGAGAGAGAGAGCAUCAAUAUGCAGACGAUGUAUUAUUAAUGCUAGCAUUAAUGGUAAAAAAAAGAAAAAUAAAAUAACAUCUAUGAAUAUCUUAAUGUUUUUAGAAAUCGGUGCUGGUUUUGAAAAUGUAUUAAUAAAAACUUAAAAAUCCUUCAAAACUCCUGUCAGGUUAGCUAAUGUUAGCUACUUGGCUAACGCUAACGUGGCAUGUUAGCUAGCUGGUUAGUUUUAACAGUGGCGUUUCAUGAAUAAGACUUUAAAGUACUUAAAAUUCAAGAAAUCCUGUCAGGUUAGCACAUGCUAAUAAUGUGGCC
ensembl:lncRNA